UUUAAGCCGAAAGUAUCAACAGUUGUCUAUUCGACACCAACUUGGAAGCUGAAUCAGGCGCCAUGCUGAGCUCCAGGUAGGAGUUUUGCCAUACCCAGAACCCACCACCUGGAUCCAUCAUCCCAUCACUUGCCUUCCUCCAAUAACCAUCAACCCACCAUUCCAAACAACCUGUACACUUCACAGACACGAACAUAAGCUCAAGUUUGAUUGACAGUGGUGUCACAAAAUGGGCAAAGGUGCCUCACAGAAGAAGAUCGCUGGUACCUAAUUGGCUGGAAAGUAGUGGUCCACUCCAAACAGUGCUCGGGCAGCUCUGACGUCACAUUCCACUGGCACUGAGUUGUCUGUGUUGUUAAGAAAUUCUCAGAGGGCCUCGUUAGCUUAAACAACAUUGAUGGGGGACAACUUUUUGUACAGAUUAUUUUUUUACCUACAGUACCUUUGACUGUUCGGUGGUCAUCAAAACGGCCAUCCGAUUGUAUCAAUAAUCACAGUAACGGCUUUCUUGUGACGAUUGUGCUUUUUUGAGCCUAAAUUAAAUCAUGAUUACCUCCCUUGAGUGUGUUAUUUCAUUUUCAUUUUGUGUUCAUGAUUAAAUAUUGUUACUAAAGAUAAGGAAUUAUAUAAACUGUGAAGUUGCUAAUUGCUGCACUAAAUGUUAAGUGACAUUUUUAACUGAACAUCUAUUUAUGUUGCAUGAAUUUGCAACAUUUGCUCUUGAACACAACUUAUUAAAAUCGUCAUUUGG